UUUAAGUACAGUUGUGGUUUUUCAUCUCCAAUGUUUGACCGAUUAGUAUUUUUAUCGCUGUUAGAUGAUAAAGCAUAAAUAGUACUUUAUAUGUAACUUAUUUAUUUUAAUUUUUUAAAUAAAAUUUUUAAAGAAGACAGAUGGCAAACGUUGAACACGGAAAACCACAAGUGAACUUAAA
rnacentral:pre_miRNA from 1 species